rnacentral:rRNA from 1 species
CACGUAGGGCGCAAGCGUUGUCCGGAAUUAUUGGGCGUAAAGAGCUCGUAGGCGGUCUGUUACGUCUGCUGUGAAAACCCUGGGCUUAACCCUGGGCUUGCAGUGGAUACGGGCAGACUAGAGGCAGGUAGGGGAGAAUGGAAUUCCUGGUGUAGCGGUGAAAUGCGCAGAUAUCAGGAGGAACACCAAUGGCGAAGGCAGCUCGCUGGGACGUGACUGACGCUGAGACGCGAAAGCGUGGGGAGCAAACAGG